rnacentral:rRNA from 1 species
UUUAUAGCCUCUGGCUAUAGGAAAUUGUUAGUGGCAGACGGGUGAGUAAUGCGUAGGAAUCUACCUAGUAGUACGGAAUAGCCAUUAGAAAUGGUGGGUAAUACUGUAUAAUCCCCGAGGGGGAAAGAUUUAUCGCUAUUAGAUGAGCCUACGUUAGAUCAGCUAGUUGGUGAGGUAAUGGCUUACCAAGGCUAUGAUCUAUAGCUGGUCUGAGAGGACGAUCAGCCACACUGGAACUGAGAUACGGUCCAGACUCCUACGGGAGGCAGCAGUGGGGAAUAUUGGACAAUGGGCGAAAGCCUGAUCCAGCUAUGCCGCGUGAGUGAAGAAGGCCUUCGGGUUGUAAAACUCUUUCAAUAGGGAAGAUAAUGACGGUACCUAUAGAAGAAGUCCCGGCAAACUCUGUGCCAGCAGCCGCGGUAAUACGGAGGGGGCAAGCGUUGUUCGGAAUUAUUGGGCGUAAAGGGCACGUAGGGGGACUAGUAAGUUAAAAGUG